AUUGAACGCUGGCGGCAUGCCUCACACAUGCAAGUCGAACGGUAACAGGUCUUCGGAUGCUGACGAGUGGCGAACGGGUGAGUAAUACAUCGGAACGUGCCUAGUAGUGGGGGAUAACUACUCGAAAGAGUGGCUAAUACCGCAUGAGAUCUACGGAUGAAAGCAGGGGAUCUCAAGACCUUGUGCUACUAGAGCGGCCGAUGGCAGAUUAGGUAGUUGGUGGGAUAAAAGCUUACCAAGCCGACGAUCUGUAGCUGGUCUGAGAGGACGAUCAGCCACACUGGGACUGAGACACGGCCCAGACUCCUACGGGAGGCAGCAGUGGGGAACUUUGGACAAUGGGCGAAAGCCUGAUCCAGCAAUGCCGCGUGCAGGAUGAAGGCCUUCGGGUUGUAAACUGCUUUUGUACGGAACGAAAAGCCCCGGGUUAAUACCCUGGGGUCAUGACGGUACCGUAAGAAUAAGCACCGGCUAACUACGUGCCAGCAGCCGCGGUAA
rnacentral:rRNA from 1 species